ACACAGAAUCCUGACAUCGAAGCACAAACUGGACCCUCAAAAGAGGAAAUGUUCUGUCUCGUUCGUUCUCCUUUCAAAAUUGAAAACAAAAUGGCCGAUCGAUACCAAGAGCGAACGCGACAGAGGUCUAACUUUUCCUUUUUUUGAGGUUCCACUUUGUGCUUCGAUGUCAGGAUUCCGUGUCUCACGAUAGACCUUUAUCCAUAUAAUCGAGGUAAGUGCAUAAUCUAGUUUUCCCCCUUUUAUUUGGAGGGCUAUUGCGACCCCAUUCUAUUCUACCCCAUUUGGAGAGUAUAUGUCUACUACACGGACACGGACGAGUCCUGGGUUCCGGCCCACGCUCCAAGGGUACUUUCUAACCAUAACUCUUUUUACAUCUCUGCUAGACUCUGUCUUAGACAUGUCGUUUGGAGAUUUCUUAGCAUUUGCUUUGUUCGUGAUUUCUACGUUGCUGAAUUAUUUAUACCUAUAAACCAGUACAUAGGAUGUUGCAUCGAGGAUAUCCACGAGGGUGACCGGUAUAGGAGGCAGCCACUCAAAGGCUUACAGGAAUUUCGUUGGUGAAACGUCAGACAGCCAGCAACGGUCAGGUGCAGUCCGCAUGUCGAAGUGCCCGGAAUUCGUCCUGGACGUCGUCGUCGAGAUCGCAGACGCUGCAGUCAUAGACUAGGAGGGGACGCCGGCAACGCACUCUACUGCACGCAACACGUUGCUCAGGGAGCACGGCCAUGCGGAGAUCGUUCCAG